UAGGGAAUCUUCCACAAUGGACGAAGUCUGAUGGAGCAACGCCGCGUGAGUGAAGAGGGGUUUCGGCUCGUAAAACUCUGUUGUUAAAGAAGAACAUAUCUGAGAGUAACUGUUCAGGUAUUGACGGUAUUUAACCAGAAAGCCACGGCUAACUACGUGCCAU
rnacentral:rRNA from 1 species